rnacentral:lncRNA from 1 species
UUUUUUUUUUUUUUUUUUAAGCGAAUACCACUAGUGUGGUUUAUUUUAUAUAAUGAAAAGCGGGAAAACAAAUAGAGGAGGGGGGCAUGGACCUGACCUCCAGCAAAUGUAAAUUGUAACAAAUAUUUGAAGAUAAAAUGCAAUCACAGUAAACAAGACACGAACAAAAACUAAUGAAAGGGACUCAAGGGUAUUCCCGAGGGUAAAUCUUCGGGUGGUAGUACAUAGACAUUGAUCGAGUCAUGCGUCUGGUUUGAAACAUUUCCGGAUCAUAGUAGUCUGCGAUGUCUGGCUCGCUCGUUGGAGAGGGGUCUCGCCUGCGUGUAGGAGCCUGCUUUGUUGAUAAGUACUGUUCAGAUGGUGGUGCACUGAAUGUCGGGCGAAAAGCGGGUGCAUCUGAUCUCAUUGUACUAGUCAUAGGUGCGUCUAAUCUCAUGGUGUUCUGUGCUACGACAUCUGAAUCGUGGGAGAUUGACCUGCUUNN